rnacentral:rRNA from 1 species
CCUACGGGAGGCAGCAGUGGGGAAUAUUGGGCAAUGGGCGCAAGCCUGACCCAGCAACGCCGCGUGAAGGAAGAAGGCUUUCGGGUUGUAAACUUCUUUUAUGAGGGACGAAAGAAAUGACGGUACCUGAUGAAUAAGCCACUGCUAACUACGUGCCAGCCGCCGCGGUAAUACGUAGGUGGCAAGCGUUAUCCGGAUUUACUGGGGGAAAAGGGCGUGUAGGCGGGACUGCAAGUCAGAUGUGAAAAGUAUGGGCUAAACCCAUAACCUGUAUUUGAAACUGUAGUUCUUGGGUGAUGGGGAGGAAGGCGGAAUUCCGGGUGAAGCGGUGAA